rnacentral:rRNA from 1 species
GAUGAACGCUGGCGGCGUGCCUAAUACAUGCAAGUCGAGCGGACCAAAGAGAGCUUGCUCUCUGAGGUUAGCGGCGGACGGGUGAGUAACACGUGGGUAACCUGCCUGUAAGACGGGGAUAACUUCGGGAAACCGAAGCUAAUACCGGAUGAUAAAGAGAAACGCCGGUUUCUUUUUUGAAAGUCGGCCUUGUGCUGACGCUUACAGAUGGGCCCGCGGGGCAUUAGCUAGUUGGUGAGGUAACGGCUCACCAAGGCGACGAUGCGUAGCCGACCUGAGAGGGUGAUCGGCCACACUGGGACUGAGACACGGCCCAGACUCCUACGGGAGGCAGCAGUAGGGAAUCCUCGGCAAUGGACGAAAGUCUGACCGAGCAACGCCGCGUGAGCGAUGAAGGCCUUCGGGUCGUAAAGCUCUGUUGUCAGAGAAGAACAAGUACCGGAGUAACUGCCGGUACCUUGACGGUACCUGACCAGAAAGCCACGGCUAACUACGUGCCAGCCGCCGCCGUAA